rnacentral:rRNA from 1 species
GACGAACGCUGGCGGCGUGCCUAAGACAUGCAAGUCGAGCGGGGCUUCGGGGCUUCGGCCCUGAAGCCUAGCGGCGGACGGGUGAGUAACACGUGGAUAACCUGCCCUCUGCUCUGGGAUAACAGGCCGAAAGGCCUGCUAAUACCGGAUAAGCUCACGGUCCCGCAUGGGGCUGGGAGAAAAGGCGCUGGAGUCAGUGGCGCUGGCAGAGGAGGGGUCCGCGGCCCAUUAGCUGGUUGGCGGGGUAACGGCCCACCAAGGCGACGAUGGGUAGCCGGCCUGAGAGGGCGACCGGCCACACUGGGACUGAGACACGGCCCAGACUCCUACGGGAGGCAGCAGUCGGGAAUUUUGCACAAUGGCCGAAAGGCUGAUGCAGCAACGCCGCGUGAGCGAAGAAGGCCUUCGGGUUGUAAAGCUCUGUUGCCUGCGAAGAAGGGCCCUGUCAGGAAAUGGGCGGGGUUUGACGGUAGCAGGCGAGGAAGCCCCGGCAAACUACGUGCCAGCAGCCGCGGUAAUACGUAGGGGGCGAGCGUUGUCCGGAAUUACUGGGCGUAAAGGGCGUGUAGGCGGCCUGUUAAGUCAGGGGUGAAAGACCGGGGCUCAACCCCGGGGGUGCCUCUGAAACUGGCGGGCUUGAGUGCUCUAGAGGGCAGUGGAAUUCCCGGUGUAGCAGUGAAAUGCGUAGAGAUCGGGAGGAACACCAGUGGCGAAGGCGGCUGCCUGGGGAGUCACUGACGCUGAGGCGCGAAAGCUAGGGGAGCAAACAGGAUUAGAUACCCUGGUAGUCCUAGCCGUAAACGAUGAGUGCUAUGUGUGAGGGGUAUCGACCCCCCUCGUGCAGGAGCUAACGCACUAAGCACUCCGCCUGGGGAGUACGGCCGCAAGGUUGA